CUACUACAUUAUUCUUAAUUACAUCUAAAUAAUGGUGUAUAGCCAUGCUUUUGUUCAUGGUAUAUCCGUGAUUCAGUGAUACUAUAAAGCACAUGAUGGCCACUAUCGAUCUAUUUAUUCACCAUCUGCCAAUCCAAACCCCACUGAUGUGUACGAUAUGGGAGAUCAAAUUGCAAUGCAGAAACCUUUGGUUAUCAGGAUGUUUCCAAAAUAAUAACUUUCGGAUGAAACGGCAUUCCGACGAGAUAUCUAGCAGAUCAAAGUCCAGGAAUCUUUCUGACAACCAAAAGUAUUGUUUAAGGGUGAUUUCUCCUCACUUCAUCUAAAUAAUGGCACCUAAAAAAGAGCUUUCUGUUUAGUGCGAUAUCGGAUAACUUGCACCGGUGAUUCAGAUCAAGCUAUAUAAUUUGAGCCAACCCUCCAUUGCCACUCUAGAUUCGCCACUGGCCGGACGGAAGUAUCAUUAAUCCAUGGCCUAUGACAAUCGUAGCGCGCCAAGCGGUCGUCGGCAGACGCAGUCGUGGAUGGCAGAGAGGAAGGGGAGAGAGCAGGGCUAUCGAUCCACAGGCACCGCAAUUGCAAGUGCUAAUGAUGAAGUUGGACAGCCGGCCAGCCCAAGUUGUCGAUGUUGCCUCCGCAGUGCAAUCGUUCUGAGUGCCACGCCCACAUGAAGAUCCCAAGGUCUGUUAUGCAUAUUCACUGGAUGGAAAGGGCUGUCAAUUUUGCCAGAUUAAUUAGCUAGGGGAUGUAACAAUAGUUCAAUCGAAGACAGUCUAAAGUACGUGUAUGCAAAGCUAAUUGAUUAGGAACUAAGCAUGGCCUUAUUGAACAUAUUUCAAUUUUUUUAGCUGGCUAGCUUAUUCGUUAAAAAGCUGGUUAUAAGUUAUGAGUUGGUCACCAGUUACCUUUUCGUCAUGUCUGGUUGGUGUUGUUUUUCAUUAAAAUGAAACAACCGGGCAUGAUGUAGCAAGCUGUUAUCUGAA